GGUUGAUCCUGCCAGUAGUCAUAUGCUUGUCUCAAAGAUUAAGCCAUGCAUGUCUAAGUAUAAGCUUUUAUACGGCGAGACUGCGGAUGGCUCAUUAAAUCAGUUAUAGUUUAUUUGAUGGUUCCUUUAUAUUUUACUACUUGGAUAACCGUAGUAAUUCUAGAGCUAAUACAUGCCCAAAGUCCCGACUGGGGGUCGCAAGGCUCUCUGGAAGGGAUGUUUUUAUUAGAUAAAAAACCGAUGCAGGGCGGCUUGCUGCCCU
rnacentral:rRNA from 1 species